rnacentral:rRNA from 1 species
CGCCCAGACUCCUACGGGAGGCAGCAGUGGGGAAUAUUGGGCAAUGGGCGCAAGCCUGACCCAGCAACGCCGCGUGAAGGAAGAAGGCUUUCGGGUUGUAAACUUCUUUUCUCAGGGACGAAGAAAGUGACGGUACCUGAGGAAUAAGCCACGGCUAACUACGUGCCAGCAGCCGCGGUAAUACGGAGGAUGCGAGCGUUAUCCGGAUUUAUUGGGUUUAAAGGGUGCGUAGGCGGAAUGCCAAGUCAGCGGUAAAAUCGCGGGGCCCAACCUCGCUCCGCCGUUGAAACUGGCGUUCUUGAGUGGGCGAGAAGUAUGCGGAAUGCGCGGUGUAGCGGUGAAAUGCAUAGAUAUCGCGCAGAACUCCGAUUGCGAAGGCAGCAUGCCGGCUCCACACUGACGCUGAGGCACGAAAGCGUGGGUAUCGAACAGGAUUAGAUACCCGAGUA